GAUGAACGCUGGCGGCGUGCCUAAUACAUGCAAGUCGAGCGAACGGGCGAGAAGCUUGCUUCUCUGAUGUUAGCGGCGGACGGGUGAGUAACACGUGGAUAACCUACCUAUAAGACUGGGAUAACUUCGGGAAACCGUAGCUAAUACCGGAUAAUAUUUUGAACCGCAUGGUUCAAAAGUGAAAGACGGUCUUGCUGUCACUUAUAGAUGGAUCCGCGCUGCAUUAGCUAGUUGGUAAGGUAACGGCUUACCAAGGCAACGAUGCAUAGCCGACCUGAGAGGGUGAUCGGCCACACUGGAACUGAGACACGGUCCAGACUCCUACGGGAGGCAGCAGUAGGGAAUCUUCCGCAAUGGGCGAAAGCCUGACGGAGCAACGCCGCGUGAGUGAUGAAGGUCUUCGGAUCGUAAAACUCUGUUAUUAGGGAAGAACAUAUGUGUAAGUACUGUGCACAUCUUGACGGUACCUAAUCAGAAAGCCACGGCUAACUACGUG
rnacentral:rRNA from 1 species